AACCUUCUGUGGUAAGGGGUGAACAUCCUUGGGAAGCCACAGAGAGCAAGGCGCAGUUUUUCAUUGAUCACCACUUUCAAGAUGCUCCCAGAAUCGUGCUGUCUAGGAAGCCAUUUAAACUGGUGAGAAGCCAUCCUCUCUUGAAUGGGGGCUCCCACUGUACAUCUGGCACCCACUUCACAGAUUCUGGGGGAUGUCAACACCAGCACUGCUGAGCUGUGUGACCUUGAGCAAGACAGUUAGCCUCUCUGAACCUCAGUGUCCUUCUCUGUAGGCUGGAGAUUGAUAUACCUUCAUUAUCGGGGUAUGAGAGUGUUAUAAGGUGGGAUGGUGGAACACGCUGACUGGUCUGGGCUAUUCAAGAUCCAUGAACUGGAAGAUGCUUUCUUAUAACUCAGAGAAAAGAGAUGAAAAUGAAUCAAAGAACAGGAAGGAGACAAGCUCAGGAGAGUCACCCUAAGAAGGAUGUGUGGAAGACUUGACUGGAGGAUCAAAAUGUGUCGGGGGAAGGUGUACAAGGAGGAGUAAGGACACAGAUGUCCUGACUUCACACAGUGGGGGAUUAGAAGCCACCAUCAAACACAGAUGAAACAGGAAUAAAAGUAGUAGUACAUUACUUAAGCUUUAAAAGGGUAAGACUCCUGGGAAUUUGGAAGCUGAGACUUGAGGAGCAGAGGCAUUUAGCUGUGUAAACACAGAGCUUCAGUGGCAGCACCCUAAAUGCUUAGCUGAUAGAUCCGGAAUUAAAUACAGACCUAGAAACUGGAGUUGGAAAACUUCCUGGCAGCACUCCUUCCCUGCCAUCCCGGUGAUCCCCUUCUGGAUGGAGGGUGUGGAGCUCAGCACAUUCACGUCUGCAGUUCUCAGAGAACCAAGUGUUAAGGAAUGUCAGGGAAGGAAGAAGGCAGCCAGCCAGGAAGGGGAGGUCCUGGCCUGAGCACGCCAGGCACAGAGGGAUAGAGGGUAGGGAGGAAACUGCACCUGUCUCCAACCCUCGACCCCAGCCCCGAAACACGACAUUGGCUGAAACAGAUUAAAAGCAUAAAAUGGCCCAAAGAAAUGGGAGAAGGUUGGCCUCUGGUCGGGCAAACAUGAGGGCAUGAAGAUAUAUAAUGUCCCACACGGGAGGAAACCCUUGCCGGGCCCCUCAGGAUUUAUAACAAGCUCACCUGAAGGAGAAACUUCAGGGGCACUUACACCAUCAGAUACCUAGAAAGGAGCUGUCAUUUCCUCACUGAAGAGUUUGCAAGCAGAUGGUAAAAGGGGUUUAAUUUGAAAACACUGAAACAUCGUGUUCGCUCAAAACCAUGACAAUUGCAGUUUUAUUGUCUCCACUCAGGAAAAUGUGUGUCUGGAUCAUCUUGUGGCCCGAAUGGGGAGAAAAGAUGCAGUAUUCCAAAGCAGGAGAUUCACUGAAAAAGAUGUUUAAGAAGUUGCUGAUGAAGAAAAGUUCAGGAUUCACAGCUCCAUACAAAGGGAAUAGCCACUUUUCUCAUUUUGAGAUAUGACUACUAACAAGUAUUAUUCUGCAUCUUCAGCCAGGCUGUGGAAGGCCCCAUUCUUUCUGUAACACAGAUGUUCAAUUGGAAUUUUCCAUCUGGUCACAUAAUUCUGCUUUGGGAUUUAACAGGUUAACUUGGCACUGGUCACUGGCCUUGGAGGGCAAAAUAUGAUAGUUCAGCAUAGAUUCUAUUUGUUGAUAACUCAUCAUAGCCACAUUGGCAUCAAUAAGUUUUCUGUAGGGCACACUUUUCCUUUAAUGUGGACACAGUCACAUAAUAAUAUGCUUAUGGUGCAGACGUUGGUUCUAAACUCACUUUGCAUUAUCUGUAUCUGUAUCUGCAUCUAUAUCUGUAUCUGUAUCUAUCUGUAUCUACAUCUGUAUCUGUAUCUGUACUUAUAUCUGUAUCUGUAUCUAUCUGUAUCUGUAUCUAUAUCUGUAUCUGUAUAUAUAUCUGUAUCUAUUUGUAUCAUCUAUCAGUAUCUGUAUCUAUAUUUGUAUCUAUCUAUAUCUGUAUCUGUAUCUGUCUGUAUUUGUAUCUGUAUCUGUAUCAUCAAUCUGUACCUGUAGCUGUCUGUAUCUGUAUCAUCUAUCUGUAUCUGUAUCUAUACUUGUAUCUGGAUCUAUAUCUGUAUCUAUACUUGUAUCUGUAUCUAUAUCUGUAUCUAUCUGUAUCUGUAUCUGUAUCAUCUAUCUGUAUCUGUAUUUUUAUCUGUAUCUUUAUCUAUACCAGUAUCUGUAUCUAUCUGUACUUGUAUCUAUCUGUGUCUGUAACUGUCUGUAAUUAUUUAUCUACAUCUAUUUCUAUCUAAUCUCAUUUUAUUUUUAUUUAUUUUUGGAGCAGUUUCAGGUUCACAGCAAAAUGGAGCAGCAAACACAGAGAUUUCCCAUACAACCCGGUCCCCACAUGUGCACAGCCUCCCCCAUUGUUAACAACCCCUGCCAAGGUGGCAUUUUUGUUAUAACUGAUGAACCUACAUUUACACAUACUUAUCACCCAAAGUUCAUAGUUUACAUUAGGGCUCACUCUUGUUGUACAUUAUACAGAUUCAGACCGGUUAUGAUGAUACGUCUUUAUCAUCAUGGUAUUGUACAGAGCAGCUUCAUAUCCUAAAAAUCUUCUGCACUCAGUCUGUUCAUGCCUUCCCACUAACCCUUGGCAGCCACUAAUCUUUUUACUGUCUACCUUCUUUUGCCUUUUCCAAAAUGUCAUAUAGUUGGAAUCAUACAGUAUGAGGCCUUUUCACAUUGGCUUUUCUCAUUUAGUAAUAUGCAUUUAAGACUCCUCUCUGUCUUUUUACGGUUUGAUAGCUCAUUUUAUGACUUGAUAGCUCAUUGAUUUUCAGCACUAAAUAAUAUUUCAUUGUCUAAAUGUACCACAGUUUAUUUUUCCAUUCAUCUGUUGAAGAACAUCUUGAUUUUUUCUAAGUUUUGGCACAUAUGAAUGAAUAAAGUUGAUAUACAUA
rnacentral:lncRNA from 1 species